rnacentral:piRNA from 1 species
UAGUCUUUUAUUAACCAAUUACUUGAGGAGC